AGCUUUGCGCAGUGGCAGUAUCGUAGCCAAUGAGGUUUAUCCGAGGCGCGAUUAUUGCUAAUUGAAUAUACUUCCUAGAAAUUAUUCUGUAGAUAUAUUUGUACAUAACGUAUG
rnacentral:snRNA from 1 species